rnacentral:rRNA from 1 species
AGUUUGAUCAUGGCUCAGAUUGAACGCUGGCGGCAGGCCUAACACAUGCAAGUCGAGCGGUAGCACAGAGAGCUUGCUCUCGGGUGACGAGCGGCGGACGGGUGAGUAAUGUCUGGGAAACUGCCUGAUGGAGGGGGAUAACUACUGGAAACGGUAGCUAAUACCGCAUAAUGUCGCAAGACCAAAGUGGGGGACCUUCGGGCCUCAUGCCAUCAGAUGUGCCCAGAUGGGAUUAGCUAGUAGGUGGGGUAACGGCUCACCUAGGCGACGAUCCCUAGCUGGUCUGAGAGGAUGACCAGCCACACUGGAACUGAGACACGGUCCAGACUCCUACGGGAGGCAGCAGUGGGGAAUAUUGCACAAUGGGCGCAAGCCUGAUGCAGCCAUGCCGCGUGUGUGAAGAAGGCCUUCGGGUUGUAAAGCA